rnacentral:rRNA from 1 species
AAAUGAAUAGACGGGGGCCCGCACAAGCAGCGGAGCAUGUGGUUUAAUUCGAAGCAACGCGAAGAACCUUACCAGGGCUUGACAUCGCCUGAAGUUGGUAGAAAUACUAAUGUUCUUUCGGGACAGGUAGACAGGUGGUGCAUGGUUGUCGUCAGCUCGUGUCGUGAGAUGUUGGGUUAAGUCCCGCAACGAGCGCAACCCCUAUCUUUAGUUGCCAUCAUUGAGUUGGGCACUCUAGAGAGACUGCCGGGGACAACUCGGAGGAAGGUGGGGACGACGUCAAAUCAUCAUGCCCCUUAUGUCCUGGGCUACACACGUGCUACAAUGGCCAUCACAAAGAGCAGCGAAGCCGUAAGGUGGAGCGAAUCUCAGAAAGGUGGUCCCAGUUCGGAUUGUGGGCUGCAACCCGCCCACAUGAAGUCGGAGUUGCUAGUAAUCGCGAAUCAGCAUGUCGCGGUGAAUACGUUCCCGGGCCUUGUACACACCGCCCGU